CCACACGUGGUUCAUUCAUACCAUCCCACGUAAAAAAACUAAGGAGGA
rnacentral:ncRNA from 2 species